AGAGACAGCAGCCGCCGCGGGAAUACGAAGGGUGCAAGCGUUACUCGGAAUUACUGGGCGUAAAGCGUGCGUAGGUGGUGGUUUAAGUCCGUUGUGAAAGCCCUGGGCUCAACCUGGGAAUUGCAGUGGAUACUGGGUCACUAGAGUGUGGUAGAGGAUAGUGGAAUUUCCGGUGUAGCAGUGAAAUGCGUAGAGAUCGGAAGGAACAUCUGUGGCGAAGGCGACUAUCUGGGCCAACACUGACACUGAGGCACGAAAGCGUGGGGAGCAAACAGGAUUAGAUACCCGUGUAGUCCCUGUCUCUUAUAC
rnacentral:rRNA from 1 species